rnacentral:lncRNA from 1 species
GCUGGCACCUGUUAUCCCAGCUACUUGGGAUGCUGAGGCAGAAGAGUUGCUUGAAACCAGAAGGCAGAGGUUGCAGUGAGCCGAGAUCACACCACUACACUCCAGCCUGGGGUCAGAGCGAGACUCCGUCUCAAAAAAAAAAAAAAAAAGACAAUGUAACAGAAUCUCUGGAACACAGCUAAAGCAGUGUUAACAGGGAAAUUUAUAGCACUAAGUACUCACAUCAAAAAGCUAGAAAGAUCUUAAAUGGACACCCUAACAUCAUAACUAAAAGAACGAGAAAACCAAGAGCAAACAAAACUUCAAGCUAGCAGAAGACAAGAAAUAACCAGAUUCAGAGUGGAAGUGAACGACAUAAAGACCCAAAAAACCCUUCAAAAAAACUCAAUGAAUCCAGGAGCUGGUUUUUUUUGACAAAACUAAUAAAAUAGACUGCUAGCUAGACUAAUAAAACAAGAGAGAAAAAUGCAAUAAACAAUAAAAAAUGAUAAAGGGGCUAUCAUCACUGACCCCACAGAAAUAAAAACAAUGUUCGGAAAAUACUAUAAACACCUCUGUGCACAUAAACUGGAACAUCUAGAAGAAAUGGAUAAAUUCCUGGACACAUCCAUCCUUUCAAGACUGAACCAGGAAGAAGUUGAAUCGCUGCAUAGACCAAUGACAAGUUCUGAAAUUGAGGCGGGAACAGCCUACCAACAAAAAAAGUCCAGGAUCAGAUAAAUUUAUAGCUGAAUUCUACCAGAGGCACAAAGAGGAUCUGGUACCAUUUCUUCUGAAACGAUUCCAAAUGAUGGAAAAGGAGGGGCCUCUCCUUAACUCAUUCUAUGAGGCCAGCAUCACCCUGAUAUCAAGACCUGGCAGAGAUAUAACAAAAUAAAACAACAACAACAACACACACACACACACACACACACACAAACCUUCAAGUCAAUAUUCCUGAUAAACAUCAAUGCAAAAAUUCUCAAUAAAAUGCUGGCAAACUGAAUCCAGCAGCACGUCAAAAAGCUUUAUUCCCAGGAUGCAAGGCUGGUUCAACAUACAAAAAUUGAUGUAAUUCAAGUCAGCUUUAUUCCCGGGAUGGAAGGCUGGUUCAGCAUACAAAAAUCGAUGUAAUUCAUCACAUAAACAGAUCUAAAGACAAAAACUACAUGAUUAUCUCAAAAAUGCGGAAAAGGCCUUCGAACAAAUUCAACAUCCCUUCAUGUUAAAAACUCUCAAUAAACAAGGUAUUCAUGAAACAUACAUCAAAAUAAUAAGAUCUAUGACAAACCCAUAGCCGAUAUAAAAGGGCAAAAGCUGGAAGCAUUCCCCUUGAAAACUGGCACUAGAUGAGGAUGCCCUCUCCCCACCACUCCUAUUUAACAUAGUAUUGGAAGUUCUGGCCAGGGAAAUCAGGCGAGAGAAAUAAAUAAGUGAUAUUCAAAUAGGAAGUCAAACUGUCUCUGUUUGUAGAUGACAUGAUCCUAGAUCUAGAAAGCCCCAUUGUCUCAGCCCAAAAGCUUCUUCAUCUAAUAAGCAGCUUCAGCAAAGUCUCAGGAUACAAAAUCAAUGUGCCAAAAUCACAAACAUUUCAAUACACCAACAAUAAACAAACAGAGAGCGAAAUCAUGAAUAAACUCCCAUUCACAAUUGCUACAAAGAGAACAAAGUACCAAGGAGUAAAUCUAACAAGGGAAGUGAAGGACCUCUUCAAGGAGAACUACAAACCACUGCCCAAGAAAAUCAGAGAGGACACAAACAAAUAAAAAAGAUAGAAAGAAUAUUGUAAAAAUGGCCAUACUGCUCAAAGUAAUUUAUAGAUUCCAUGCUAUUCUGACUAAACUACCACUAACAUUCUUCACAGAAUUAGAAAAAAAAAAAAUUUAAAACUCAUAUGAAAACCCAAAAGACCCCAUCUAGCCAAGAUAAUUCUUUUUGUUUUUUGAGACAGAGUCUCACUCUGUCACCCAGGCAGGAGUGCAAUGGCAUGAUCUCAGCUCAUUGCAACCUCCGCCUCCCAGGUUCAAGCGAUUCUCCUGCCUCAGCCUCCCAAGUAGCUAGGAUUACAGGAAUGUGCCACCAUGCCAGGCUAAUUUUUUGUAUUUUUAGUAGAGACAGGGUUUCACUAUGUUAGCCAGGCUUUUCUCAAACUCCUGACCUCAAGUGAUCCACCCGCCUCAGCCUCCCAAAAUGCUGAGAUUACAGGCGUGAGCCACUGUGCCUGGCCUAGUCAAGAGAAUUCUAGGCAAAAAACACAAAGCUGGAGGCAUCAUGAUAUCCAACUUCAAACUAUACUACAAAGCUGUAGUAACCAAAGCUGCCUGGUACUGUUAUAAAAACAUACAUAUAGACCAAUGGAAUAGAAUAGAGAACUGAGAAAUAAGAUUGCAUAUCUACAACCAUUUGAUCUUUGAAAACCCUGACAAAAACAAGCAAUGGAAAAGGAUUCCCUUUUAAUAAAUGGUGCUGGGAGAACUGGCUAGCCAUAUGCAGAAAAUUGAAAUUGGACCUCUUUCUUAUGCCUAUAAAAAAUUAACUCAAGAUGAAUUAAAGACUUAAAUGUGAAACCCAAAACUACAAGAACCCCUGAAGAAAAUCUAGGCAAUACUACUCAGGACAUAGGCAUGGGCAAAGAUUUCAUGAUGAAAAUGUCAAAAGCAAUUGCAAGAAAAGCAAACAUUGACAAAUGGGAUCUAAUUAAACUAAAGAGCUACUGCACAGCAAAAGUAAUUAUCACCAGGUGUGGUGGCUCACGCCUGUAACCACAGUGCUUUGGGAGGCCAAAGGGGGUAGAUGAGGAUGGGGUCAGGAGUUCAAGACCAGCCUGGCUAAGAUGGUGAAACCCC